CUCUCGGCCGGAGCCCCGGGACCUCUCACUUUAUCCACACACACACCCACCCUCCCCUCCCUUGGCCCCCCAGAGCUCGCUCGCUCUCCCGCCGCCGCCGCGGUAACUACUACACAUCCGCCAUCUUGUAACCCGAUUCUCUCUGCCUUUCUCUUCCUCCUCCAGCAGGCUCGCACGGGCUGUCCUAGCAGGGGCUACGGCGGCCGACGAGGCUAACGCACCGCCGCUCAGCUUCUGCUCGCGCUUCCAGGGCCAGCAGUACUCGGCGUUCUCGCGAGGCGGGGUGGGAGGGCCUGAGUGCGCGUUCUUCCUGUCUUGGCCACGCCUGCGGGCGCGGGAUCUCGGCCGAGGAAGUGGUCCUCGCGAUAUCCCCGUCCUCUGCUGGUAACGCGAGACUUUCUGAGUAGGCAGGGAGAACUGAGUGCUAGUCUCGCUUCGUCCGUUUUUCACCCGGCGGUGUGACGAGUCGUGCGACCCAUCUCCGAGGAAAAGCAAAGCAAACUUGGGAGAGUGGUGAACAGAUAAGGGACGAAAUCGUGUCAGUUUCUCAAUCUUAACUGGCUAAGGUGACUCUCCUCACUCUCCUUCAAUAAUCUCAAAGCUGAGUCCAGGAGUCCCCGAAAUUAAAGAGAAUGGAGUCAGGUGGUCAGACUCAGCUGAAGGAAGGAAGCCCGGAACAGGGACAAAUGCCAUUUGCCUCACAACACUGAUUAAAGAGUAAAGAACACAAAACAGAGGUGCAAACUCACCAGAAGUGAGAUAAUCCUUGGAUAAAGAAUUUCAUGGUAAGGAUUUGAAGCUUCUACCUGGAACUUUAUCAAGAAAAUUGGAGAGCUAAACUACUGGAGGGAGAAGCACAUCCACCUAAAUUACCUCCCACUGUUUAUCUCAGUGAUAAAUCUCUACAAUAAAUUUUGACUUGAAAAAUUUCAGCAUAUCACGAAAAUGGGAAAGACAAAUGAAGGCUAUGAGAUGAGACAAAUAUUUGGCAAAUCCUGUAAAGCACUUAGAGUAAGCUUUAUUAAGUGUGGCAGAAUCAGAUGAUCAUUACUGUAUUUAUUUUUAUCUGGGGUCAAACAUAAUUAAAAUAAAACAUUU